rnacentral:rRNA from 1 species
UACGGAGGGAGCUAGCGCUGUUCGGAAUUACUGGGCGUAAAGCGCACGUAGGCGGCUUUGUAAGUUAGAGGUGAAAUCCCCGGGCUUAACCUGGGAACCGCAUUUGUGACUGCAUAGCUGGAGUACGGCAGAGGGGGAUGGAAUUCCGCGUGUAGCAGUGAAAUGCGUAGAUAUGCGGAGGAACACCGAUGGCGAAGGCGGGUCUCUGGGCCGAUACUGACGCUGAGGAGCGAAAGCGUGGGGAGCGAACAGG